GGUUCGAUGCCACGUCGAUGGUAGCUACGUGCAAUGACCAACGAUGCUAUGAUUGAACCAAAAUCAAGAGUGAAUUGUUUCGCAUCUUGAUAGGAAUCUGUGGAUUUCGUAACUUUCAAUUCACGGAGCCGUUUUAUGCGAUUACAUUU
rfam:Lupinus angustifolius cultivar Tanjil contig_21838, whole genome shotgun sequence.